CUGAAUCUGGAUACAUUUGAAAAUUUAUCCAAAGAAUGGGUUAAGAAAGUAUAGAGACAGAAUGCCCAAAGAAAGCAGCUUUAGAUACAUGGAAGUGAAGGAAAUUUUGCUAUAAGAAAGGUACAAAAGAUCAUUAAGUAGCAAUGACAUAAUACACCGUGAAUCUGUGAGACUUGUUUUUCUUAAGCAUCUUUCAAGAAAUCUCAGAUUUAAAAUAUAUUUUAUUAUUUUAUCACAUAUAAAACAUCAGUCUCAGUUAUUUACAAGUGAAUCUUCAAGUAUUCUCUCAUGUUUACCAUUUAGACUUCAUAUUUACUUUUAAUCAACCAUAUUAUUCAAUCAGUAUUUUCCACUCUUAAAAAAUAUACAUCAAGUAUUAGCAAAUAAACCCCAAACCAAAAAGAGCUUAUGACUUUCUUCUGCUGAAUCUUUGUCUAAUUUAGAGGGAAUUAAAUUCUUUGGUUUUCCACUGUUUCCUACAACUUCAGUUUUUUUCUUGAUUUUGAGACAUUUUAACAACACUUUAUAUAAUGUGUAUACUGGGCCUAUACAUCUAAACCUGCAGUUUUUAAAUUUCUCUUUAGGUAGAAUUCUCCGCUCCUUUAAAAUCUUACCUGAAAGCUUUCAAUACACUAGGACUUAAAUAUAUACUAGGAUUUAAAUAUUUAUACAUAUACUAGGAUUUAAAGAGGAUUUCAUUGAAACCACUGACCUGAUGCUCAACCUGGGCCUUUCCUUCUUUUCCCCAAAUUUCCUCUCACAUGGCUUAGAUGUUCACUGAGCUAGGUGGCUUUUCCUACAUUCUUGCCUCUAACAUUCUAAUUCCUCUGUUGAUAUUUACCUCCAAAUUAACACAUUAAAAAAAUUUUCCAGGAAUGCAAUUAGGACUUUAGAUUUGUGAUUUAAUGCUCUUUCAAUUAAGCCACACUUUAAGUUGUAUUCCUCUCCUUUCCAACAUCAACCCGUGGCUUCAGGGGGCUGACUUUUCAUCCCCUUUCUGCGAAUGCUUCCUCUCCUCAAAUUAUACACCCUUUACCACCCUUCAAAAUCCAACUUAAAUUUUACCUAUUUCAUAAAAGAGUCUAUGAAACACUGUCGAGUCUCUCUAAUGACUUCCAUUUGUUCUCUGGAUUAGCAAUGCACACUGACUCAUGGCUAACAGUUUAGUUUCUGUUAUGCUCUCGUAUUUCUUAUCUCAGUAGUUCAGUCUUAUGCUUAAUAAAAGUGGUUGUACUUGUCCACACCUGUUUAUACUGGUUGUAUUUUUACAGUAAGUAUUCAAUUCAAUUACAUAAUCUAAUGAAAUGUAAGUGUGGGAAAAGAGAUCUGAUGUUUCUAAUUGGAGAAAAAAAAAAAUCCUAAGUUGAAUGUUUUACAAAAACUCCGUAGAGGCAAAAUACUACUAAUUUUUUUUUUUUUUUUUUGCUGUGAAAUUUAUCAUGAGAUAGAAGGGAAAAAUUAUUAAAACCUAGAAGGUAUCUACACUCAAGGUAUGCUUGAUUACUGACUUAAGUUCCUUCUCCACUUUAAUGAAACCGAAACUAGAAAUCAGUUAAAAGUACUGAGUGUGAUUUAUCAAAGAAUGAUGUCAUGAAUCUUCAGUUGUCAGUAAUGACACCUGCUCACAAAGAAAAGGCUUUGGACCUAUAAUAAAAGAUCUGAAUAUAUUAUUUCAAGUUGAAUAAAAUGUUUAAUACACACAGAGUUUAUGAUUCCCUACUGAGUAACCAUCCCUCCCAAUCACUGUCAGGUAAAAGGGCUUCUACUGCAAUAUUUUAUCAUCUGACAAUAUUUUCCAAUAGUAUCUAAACUCUUGAGGGUAGGGUUAAUUUUAAAGUCAUUCAAUCACUCAAGAAAUAUUUUUAUGACUAGUUAUUACGUGCAGCUACUUUGCUGAGUGCUGAGGAUAUGAAGAUGAUAAAGAAGUGAUCCCCUCUUUUCCUCACUGCACCUAGUACAAUGUUGGUUUGGGGCAAAGUACAACAAAUACUCUCAUUUCGUUUACUUUCCAAAAAUCUCUGGAGUUUCAAAGUCAGAACAGUGGUUAAAAGCCUGGCCCAUUACCCUCUUAAGCAAGGAGAAAACAUCUUGCCAUGUUUUUUCUUGAUGAAAUAAGCUCUAAGUUUUUAUUUAUCUAACUGCUUUCCAAAAAAUUCAGAGGGAAGGCCAGGUCCCCUAAAGGGGAUUAGAAAAGAAUUGGUCUGUGGCAAUGAAUUACCGAUAGAGACAAACUAUCAUGAUGUUUAUUUGCUUUUUACUUAUUUACUUGUAUUUGUAUGGAAGUAUAUACCUGCUUGGUUUUAGAAAGAAUCUGAAAAUAUGAGUUAGUUUGAAGGGAACAGAGCAGCAAAGAACAUGGUUUUUAGAAUGACCUCGUCUUUACCAGAAAAAGAUCAAACAAAAGGAAUUUUGCGAUUGAUGCAAACAUGGCCUCUGAUCUACUCACUUCUCUCUCUACUUUGAUCACAGAGAAAGCAGUACAACACAUGUGUCUGUGUGCACAAAGGGAAGAGCUAUUUCUAGGUGAGAGGUGUCUCCUAGAGGGACUAAACAGAAUGAGGAAUAAGAGAAAGCUAUAAACAUACAGUUUAUAAAUUAAAUUUAGAAAGAUGGAAAGUUGGGUAGUUAUAAUGGAAAGAGUCAAUUGUAAGGGUCUUCCCAAUGUCCUUCUGGAAUAAACCAUGAGAUAUUUUUUCCUGCCCUCUGUAGCAUACAUGAAGCCAUCUUAAUAAAAUAGCUAGCCAACAGUAGAUGUUUCCUACACAGAAACUUGCAACUCUUCUUGGCCUGCAAAUCACUCAUGUACAUAUACUGUCUAAAGACACAGUUUGUCUUGUCUAGACCAUAGGCUCACCCUGGUCUUCAGGGCAACUGUUUUAAGAGAGCUUGACUAGAGGGUGAAAAGGACCAGUGCUCUCUUGUGGGAUAUAUCAGUUGCUACCUCAAGAUCCAGCUCUCUUGUGGGAUAUAUCAGUUGCUACCUCGACUGGCAUUCCUUUCCUCUCUUACCAUUGCAUAUAUGUUUCCCCAGAGUAAGCAUGCUUAAGCAAGGAGGAACCAGCUGUGGGGUUCUCAAAGAGAACCAGCUGUGGGGUGGAUUCCUAGGUUACAGAGUUUUACCAGGUUCCCUGGCAGGGAUACAUAGAAGUGGGGUUGGCCCCUUUGCAAUGACCCUAAAAAUGAAAGAAUCUUUUUUAGUAUAGCCUUCACUAUAUCAAGCAAGAAAAGAUAUCAUCCCUUGUCACGUCCUUAAAUGACCUUCAGAACUGAGGCAUCCAGAAAGAGCCUGUACUCUGAACGAGGGUGAGACUGGGAAGGAGAUAGAAAAGAUGAAAUUGUAUGACACCUAACAUUAUAUUUUUGUAGAAUUCACUCUUUGAGUUUUAGUUUGAAACUCAGGAUGUAUUUACUAGAACUCUCAUAACUCCCUGCCCUCCCUCAUUUGAUAAUGAAGAGAAUGGGGGUAUACAAUGUUAAUUUUCUCUCUCCAGAAAAAAUCAGCUCUAUAGGAUUUUUUCAGAAACAAUGGGUUGAUUACACAGGAUAAAGAAAAUCCAGAACAUUUCCUGAAGACAUGAAUCACUUAUUUUGACUUGUAUAAAACUGCUAAACAGUGUUGUAUAUGCAAUGUACCAGGCCAAAAUAAGUAUAGCCUUCAUUUUAUAAACCAGCAUGUAAAGUCAUAUCAGCCUCAGAUGAAGUGGGCUCUGGAGACUGAGAUGAUAGCAUCAAUCAAGGCUCAGAGUUAAGAAGACCUAUUGGCAUAAACAAGGCAGCAAAACUGUGAACAUCUGAGUGACAGAAAGGCAUAGCACAGCAAGACUGGGAAAUCGGCUCAGCUGUGAGGACCCAUGUUGAGGGACAUAUCUGAGAUAAGUGAUGCUGAUUAAUUAGAAAGGAUGAAGAUGCCAAGAGGACCUGACCUUAGAAGACAUUAAAGGUGCAGGGGAAAGACAAGACACAGAAGAUGAUGUGACAGAAAACUUGUGACCUGCAAAGCCUAAAACAUUUACUGUUUGGCCCUUCAGAGAAAACGUUUGCCAAUUCCUGAUUUUAAAUCUUUCAUAAGAAAUGAAAGAUUUAAAAAA